UGCAAGUCGAACGGAGCUUUUCGGAGCUUGCUUUGAAAAGCUUAGUGGCGAACGGGUGAGUAACGCGUGAGUAACCUGCCCUCGAGUGGGGGACAACAGUUGGAAACGACUGCUAAUACCGCAUAAGACCACGGAGCCGCAUGGCUCAGAGGUAAAAGGAUUUAUUCGCUUGAGGAUGGACUCGCGUCCAAUUAGCUAGUUGGUGAGGUAACGGCCCACCAAGGCGACGAUUGGUAGCCGGACUGAGAGGUUGAUCGGCCACAUUGGGACUGAGACACGGCCCAGACUCCUACGGGAGGCAGCAGUGGGGGAUAUUGCACAAUGGGGGAAACCCUGAUGCAGCGACGCCGCGUGAAGGAAGAAGGCCUUCGGGUUGUAAACUUCUGUCGUACGGGACGAUAAUGACGGUACCGUACAAGAAAGCCACGGCUAACUACGUGCCAGCAGCCGCGGUAAAACGUAGGUGGCAAGCGUUGUCCGGAAUUACUGGGUGUAAAGGGAGCGCAGGCGGACUAGCAAGUUGGAAGUGAAAUCUAUGGGCUCAACCCAUAAAUUGCUUUCAAAACUGCCGGUCUUGAGUAGUGCAGAGGUAGGCGGAAUUCCCGGUGUAGCGGUGGAAUGCGUAGAUAUCGGGAGGAACACCAGUGGCGAAGGCGGCCUACUGGGCACCAACUGACGCUGAGGCUCGAAAGUAUGGGUAGCAAACAGGAUUAGAUACCCUGGUAGUCCAUACCGUAAACGAUGAUUACUAGGUGUUGGAGGAUUGACCCCUUCAGUGCCGCAGUUAACACAAUAAGUAAUCCACCUGGGGAGUACGACCGCAAGGU
rnacentral:rRNA from 1 species